rnacentral:rRNA from 1 species
UACGUAGGGUGCGAGCGUUAAUCGGAAUUACUGGGCGUAAAGCGUGCGCAGGCGGUCUGUUAAGACCGAUGUGAAAUCCCCGGGCUUAACCUGGGAACUGCAUUGGUGACUGGCAGGCUUUGAGUGUGGCAGAGGGAGGUAGAAUUCCACGUGUAGCAGUGAAAUGCGUAGAGAUGUGGAGGAAUACCGAUGGCGAAGGCGGCAUCCUGGACCAACAUUGACGCUGAGGAGCGAAAGCUAGGGGAGCAAACGGG